CCGGCUAUAUUCCGUCACUAUAAAAGACGACUCUCCGUCAAGGUGGUCAUUGAGGGGCAGGAACGUGAACUGACGAGUCGACAACAGGCUACUAUGAUGAACAACGCAAUCAAGUGGUUGAUCUUGGCUUUUGCUGUCGCCAUGCUGAUCACAACUGGUGACGCUCUGACAUGCCAACGCUGUAUGAUGUUUAUGGGGUGUCAUCAACAACCAUGUCAACCAGGCCAAGUCUGCAAAUCCGUGCCAUACGACUCUCCGUCAAGGUGGUCAUUGAGGGGCAGGAACGUGAACUGACAAGUCGACAACAGGCUACUACGAUGAACAACGCAAUCAAGUGGUUGAUCUUGGCUUUUGCUGUCGCCAUGCUGAUCACAACUGGUGACGCUCUGACAUGCGAACGCUGUAGGUUCUAUGUUGGGUGUACUAAAGAAACAUGUGCACCAGGCCAAGUCUGCAAAUCCGUGCCAUUCUUGGGUGGCCAGGGCUGUGGGGAUCCGUGAAUGUGACGACAGACAAACCCCCAACGCAAAAUGUCCCAAAAUGGACUUCUGCGACAUGGAAGGAUUUGUGGGGGUUGAAGAUCCAACCUACCGUCUUGGUAGUUUAGUUGAGAAGCAUUCAAAAAUGUUAAAAAAAUAAAUAAAAAGUGAUCAUCAAAUGAUGACUUUGCUCUUGCAUUGUGUUGAACAAUUUACCUAUCAUGUUGACAGAGGCCGAAAGCAAUCUCAAAAUUCAACUCUAAAAGACCGAGGUGAUUGUUUUGAUCGAUUGAUAUUUUCUGGGAUUUGGCCUGAGCGGAGACGCCCAUGUGACUUUUGGUCACCAUUAACAACUGUCUCGAUGACCCUAACGAUAACACCUUUGCCCAUUUGAGUGCUGAUCACAAAAUUGCAGUCUCAUCAAAGGAGACUGAAACCAGUCUUGUGACUGAUCCUCAAUUGGGCGCACGCUAAUAAAUAUAAAUAGGUGUGUAAAUAUGAUGAGUAAAUAAGAGCAGCUAAUAUAAAAACCAGCUCAGUGACCUAGUGGUUAGAGUGUCCGCCCUGAGACAGGAAGGUUGUGGCUUCAAACCCCGGCCGGGUCAUACCAAAGACUGUAAAAAUGGGACCCAUUGCCUCCCUGCUUGGCACUCAGCAUUAAGGGUUGGAACUGGGGGGUUAGAAGGAGUGGAGCUCUUUACAAGCCCUAGGCUUCGUCUCCCUCCUUGCACAGUUAUUGAUAUAAUAAUAUGUGCUAAACAAUAAACGAAACUAAAAGACAACACUUAAGAGUAAAAUGAUCAUUGAGUGGCGGCAAUCUUACGGGACUUUUUUGAAGCGUAAAUCUCUGUCGUAAUUAUUUGGACGGGCGAUGAGUACAUAUUUACAUCCAUAAAUACACGGUACAUAUUUGCUAAGAGGGCAGAGAAUUGCAAGUCAAACUCUUCACCAAAGCCGCACAAUCUUCGUCAUUUGCAACUUGGAUGAGUGUAAACAAGAAGAGCAAAUAAGAAUGUAAAACCUCUAUCUUCCUUCUUUCCGGCUAUAUUGCGUCACUAUAAAAGACGACUCUCCGUCAAGGUGGUCAUUGAGGGGCAGGAACGUGAACUGACGAGUCGACAACAGGCUACUACGAUGAACAACGCAAUCAAGUGGUUGAUCUUGGCUUUCGCUGUCGCCAUGCUGAUCACAAGUGGUGAGGCUCUGACAUGCGGAACCUGUCUGCUCUUUUCUCAUGAAACAUGUCAACCAGGCCAAGUCUGCAGAUACGAUUCAUCCGUCGGUGGCCAGCACUGCGUGGAUCCGUGAAUGUGACGACAGACAAACCCCCAACGCAAAAUGUCCCAAAAUGGACUUCUGCGACAUGGAAGGAUCUGUGGGGAUUGAAGAUCCAACCUAUUGUCCUGGUAGUUGAGUUGAAAAGCAUUCAAAAAUGUUGAAAAAAAAUAAAUAAAAGGAUGACUGGAUGAAAAGUUA